CCACCACAACCUGUAUGAAGUAUGACGGCCAUACUCCCAUGGGCGUACCCAGGAUUAUGCGCAAGUUGACCUUCAACUUCCACCCGGCACACGGAUCAACAUGAGUGGGAGUCAGGAUGACGGAUGACAUUCUCGCAGAAAUAACCUUGAUUCUGGUGUUUCAUUGCUUUCUAACUAAGUCACUCUCAUCUUUAGCAGUUUAUUAUCGUGAAAAAUGGCACUUCACAAACUCAUAGUGACCACACAUGAGAGGGUUGCUACACACCCCGAGCUCCUCAAGAACACAGACAGAGGCAUCUGUUGACCACAGGGCCUCACACAACCUGACGCUGUGCAGUUUAUAGACUGAAUAGCAUGAACAAAUUGGAAGAUUCACCCCAGAAAGGAAUGUUGGCAAGUAAAAUUAUUUACUCAGAGGUUGACAUCUAGGUUGCUUGUUGGGACUUUCCAAGCUAUUUGGAAGAAUUUUGGCAUCCCAACUAUGUGGCAAGAGCUGACCAGGGUGAAAAAGUUGCUUCAUGUCGCUUUUGUUUGGAGAAGUGAAAUCAGCUUGACUGAGAAAGAGCAUCCACAUUGAAUCAAGUGGGGGUUGGAGCAGGUUACACAGCGAUGGCAAACACAGAGGGAACAGCCCUUCUCGGACCUCUGCAGUGAGGUCUCAGAAACUAAUGGGUCCAGUGCUACAAGGAUCAUCAUUUUAAAAUAGAGUCAAAUGCCAUGUUUUUUUUUCCAUAUUAUGAAAGGAAUACAAGCCUCUGGUGGAAUCCUGGGAAACUAAAGAAAAGUUCAUGUUACAACUAAGGAGGCAAAGUUUGCUGAAGAUCCACGGGGGUUAUCAGUACGUCCCCCAGAGCUGGACACUCAGAAAUCUGGCUUGGAGAUGUGUGCCCACUGUUGGCGCCCAUGAAGAUGGGCGCUGGUGCCCAGCUGAACACACAGCGGCCACCUGGGGAAGGCUGAGAGCCCGGAGCAGCCUUGCCGGCCAACCCAGUCCUCCUUUUGGUUCUGGUAGGGAGGACCAAGGUAGUCCUGACUCCCAGGCAAACCGUAGCAGGGGUGGGGGCUGCUGUCAUCAUGUUCUGUGGCUUUCUUUUGCAGAACGGGGUUCUCCACUUAAAAUGAAUCCUGGAGCCUGAAAAGCUUGGCAGAAAGCUUUAUCUUAAUCAUCAAUAGAUUAUCCAGCUGCCCAAGUUUCUUGAUGAGACAUGUGACUUAUAAGGGUCGGGUAGCAGCAGCCGGGAUGCGCAGGGAGAGUAAGCUGUGGGCCGCUCUCGGCCUCCUGGG
rnacentral:lncRNA from 1 species